rnacentral:rRNA from 1 species
CAAAGAAGGUAAUAAUCCUGUAGUCGAAAAUGUUGUCUCUCUUGAGUGGAUCCUGAGUACGACGGAGCACGUGAAAUUCCGUCGGAAUCUGGGAGGACCAUCUCCUAAGGCUAAAUACUCUCUAGUGACCGAUAGUGAACCAGUACCGUGAGGGAAAGGUGAAAAGCACCCCGGAAGGGGAGUGAAAUAGAACCUGAAACCGUGUGCUUACAAGUAGUCAGAGCCCGUUAAUGGGUGAUGGCGUGCCUUUUGUAGAAUGAACCGGCGAGUUACGAUUUGAUGCAAGGUUAAGCAGUAAAUGUGGAGCCGUAGCGAAAGCGAGUCUGAAUAGGGCGUUUAGUAUUUGGUCGUAGACCCGAAACCAGGUGAUCUACCCUUGGUCAGGUUGAAGUUCAGGUAACACUGAAUGGAGGACCGAACCGACUUACGUUGAAAAGUGAGCGGAUGAACUGAGGGUAGCGGAGAAAUUCCAAUCGAACCUGGAGAUAGCUGGUUCUCUCCGAAAUAGCUUUAGGGCUAGCCUCAAGUGAUGAUUAUUGGAGGUAGAGCACUGUUUGGACGAGGGGCCCCUCUCGGGUUACCGAAUUCAGACAAACUCCGAAUGCCAAUUAAUUUAACUUGGGAGUCAGAACAUGGGUGAUAAGGUCCGUGUUCGAAAGGGAAACAGCCCAGACCACCAGCUAAGGUCCCAAAAUAUAUGUUAAGUGGAAAAGGAUGUGGCGUUGCCCAGACAACUAGGAUGUUGGCUUAGAAGCAGCCAUCAUUUAAAGAGUGCGUAAUAGCUCACUAGUCGAGUGACACUGCGCCGAAAAUGUACCGGGGCUAAACAUAUUACCGAAGCUGUGGAUUGUCCUUUGGACAAUGGUAGGAGAGCGUUCUAAGGGCGUUGAAGCAUGAUCGUAAGGACAUGUGGAGCGCUUAGAAGUGAGAAUGCCGGUGUGAGUAGCGAAAGACGGGUGAGAAUCCCGUCCACCGAUUGACUAAGGUUUCCAGAGGAAGGCUCGUCCGCUCUGGGUUAGUCGGGUCCUAAGCUGAGGCCGACAGGCGUAGGCGAUGGAUAACAGGUUGAUAUUCCUGUACCACCUAUAAUCGUUUUAAUCGAUGGGGGGACGCAGUAGGAUAGGCGAAGCGUGCGAUUGGAUUGCACGUCUAAGCAGUAAGGCUGAGUAUUAGGCAAAUCCGGUACUCGUUAAGGCUGAGCUGUGAUGGGGAGAAGACAUUGUGUCUUCGAGUCGUUGAUUUCACACUGCCGAGAAAAGCCUCUAGAUAGAAAAUAGGUGCCCGUACCGCAAACCGACACAGGUAGUCAAGAUGAGAAUUCUAAGGUGAGCGAGCGAACUCUCGUUAAGGAACUCGGCAAAAUGACCCCGUAACUUCGGGAGAAGGGGUGCUCUUUAGGGUUAACGCCCAGAAGAGCCGCAGUGAAUAGGCCCAAGCGACUGUUUAUCAAAAACACAGGUCUCUGCUAAACCGUAAGGUGAUGUAUAGGGGCUGACGCCUGCCCGGUGCUGGAAGGUUAAGAGGAGUGGUUAGCUUCUGCGAAGCUACGAAUCGAAGCCCCAGUAAACGGCGGCCGUAACUAUAACGGUCCUAAGGUAGCGAAAUUCCUUGUCGGGUAAGUUCCGACCCGCACGAAAGGCGUAACGAUUUGGGCACUGUCUCAACGAGAGACUCGGUGAAAUCAUAGUACCUGUGAAGAUGCAGGUUACCCGCGACAGGACGGAAAGACCCCGUGGAGCUUUACUGUAGCCUGAUAUUGAAAUUCGGCACAGCUUGUACAGGAUAGGUAGGAGCCUUUGAAACGUGAGCGCUAGCUUACGUGGAGGCGCUGGUGGGAUACUACCCUAGCUGUGUUGGCUUUCUAACCCGCACCACUUAUCGUGGUGGGAGACAGUGUCAGGCGGGCAGUUUGACUGGGGCGGUCGCCUCCUAAAAGGUAACGGAGGCGCUCAAAGGUUCCCUCAGAAUGGUUGGAAAUCAUUCAUAGAGUGUAAAGGCAUAAGGGAGCUUGACUGCGAGACCUACAAGUCGAG